UACAGAGGUCUCAAGCGUUGUUCGGAUUCAUUGGGCGUAAAGGGCGCGUAGGCGGCGGGGCAAGUCGGGUGUGAAAUCUCAGGGCUCAACCCUGAAACUGCACUCGAUACUGCUCUGCUUGAGGACUGGAGAGGAGACUGGAAUUCACGGUGUAGCAGUGAAAUGCGUAGAUAUCGUGAGGAAGACCAGUGGCGAAGGCGGGUCUCUGGACAGUUCCUGACGCUGAGGCACGAAGGCCAGGGGAGCAAACGGG
rnacentral:rRNA from 1 species